CCGGUCCCACUGCCUGGGUGCCUCCCAAACAGUUCAAGCAAAUCAACUGUCUCACUUAUCCAGAGGGCCUGAUCCAGUUGGGGGCUCUUCCUUUCAGUUUUUAAGGAUUAUUUCUAAGCAGUACCAGUAGCUAUAACCAGUGAAGGCACAACCCCAACAGGCUCUCCAAUCACCCCAAGAAGGCCAGAAUGAAUACAGAGAAAAGUCAACUUCAGACAGCUCCCACACUCACCACCAUCUGCUGAUUUAAAAAUCCGUUCUUUUUAAUUGCAUAAAGUAAAACUCACUUUUUUACAUAUAGUCUUUCUGGUUCUGACAAAUCCUAAAGUCCUAUUACUAUUGCAAUCAAGAUUUGGAACAGGCCAGGCCUGGUAGUGCAUGCCUAUAAUCCUAGCACUUCAGGAUGAGGCAAGAGGAUUGCAAGUUCAAGACCAGUAUGAACUACAUAGUAAAAUCCUGUGUCGAAUCUCCCACAAUACCAAUAUUUCUUUGGCUCCCCUUUUAUCGUUAAAUUAUCUACUACCUGCCCUUACUUCCCGGUCCCUUAGGCCAGAAACCCCAUCCACCUGUACCACUGAGAGGAACCAUUGAUCAUUGAUGGCUCAUAGUUUAUCCUAAAGCAUAGCAUGAAUAAAUGAAGUUACACAUGGUGUCCCUUUGGGAAUCUGCUCUCUAUGUUAAUACAAGGCAUUUGAGACUGGUCCAUGCUGAAUCCAUAAGCUAUUUCAUAUCAUUGCUGAGAUGAAUUCUUUUGUGUGGAUGUACAGAGCCAGUUGACCCAUUCAUCAGCUGAUCAGUGAGCUAAGGUGCUGUAAACAUGCAAGUCCAGGUUCUGUGUGAGAGAACAUAACUUUUCCUUUUUCCUGGCUGUGACGGAUGCAUCUAUAUGGUAAGAAUGUGUUUAGCUGUACAAGGAGCCACCAAAUUAGGCUGGGGUAUAGUAGCACACAUCUUUAAUUCCACCAUCAAGGAGGCAGAAGUAGGCAGAUCUUUGUGAAUUCAAGGCCACCCAGGGCUACAUAGUGAGACAUAAUCCUUAGAAAAAAAUAGAGAGAGCUGAAAGAUGCCUCAGCUGUUGAGUAUACUUACCACUCUUGCAGAGGGCCUGAGUUUAGCUCCCAGCACCCACAGGGCAGCUUACUACAUUUGAAAUCCAACACUCUUGUCUCUGACCUUUAUGAGUACCAGACACAUACCUGACACACAUUCAGACAAAACAUUAACAGACAAAAAAUUAAUUAAUUAAAAUAUUUUUAUAAGAAAAGAAGGGGGAAAAAACUUCCAAAUGGCCUUUGUUGUGGUGCUAGAGCCUGGAAUCCAGGGUCCUUCGUGUACUGCACAUGUGCUGUACCGCUGAGCUACAUCACUAGCCAUGCCAAGUCACUUUCUGUUCUUGUUUUGUAGUGUUGGAGAUGGAGCUCAAGCAUGCAAAUCAAGGGCUCUACCAGGAAGCUGCUGCCUCAGCCUUACCAAAUGGCACUCUUGGCUUUUUAUUCAUGUGUGGAUCUGUGUGCUUGUGUGACACAAUAUGUCUAGGUGCCUGUAGAGGCCAAAGGAAGGCUUAAGGCCCCUUAGAGCUGGAGUUAUAGAUCACUGUGAGCCUCCCUCCACUGGAACUGUAACCAACACGGGUCUUUGAAGAGCAGUGUGAGCUCCUAACUGCUAAGCCAUCUCCAAAGUCAGCUGCCCCACUCAGUGGCUCCCAAGGGGGUGUAUUUGUAUCUCAAUCAGCCUCCAAGGCAAAGAUCUACAUCCUUCUAGAGAUUGUAAUGGACAUGAAGGUGCUUGGUAGAGAGAGGGUGCAGUAUGCCAAGGUGGGAGAUUUGGGAAGAAACAUAUCUGAACUCUGUGUGUGUUUAAUAAAUAUAUAUGUAAGUUAAAGAUUUUGAGUGGGAUACAAUAGUUACUAAAGCACAAAUCCAUAAUGUAACUGUCAUAUAUUUUUUAAAAGGAUUAUACCAGUGCAGCAUUGUGGAAUGAAGAGAUUUUGUACAAUGGAUUUUGAUCAUAUUAGUUCCCCAUUCCCUCUUGUGCCCUCUUUUUAUGGUACCUCCUCCACCCAGGGCUCAGGGAUCAUUGAGGAAAGAGGGACAGAAAGAUGAUACGAGCCAGAGGCAUUGGAUGGAUGCAGUGAAACAGUAACAGGGCAGUUACAUAUAUGAGCUUCACAACGUGGUUAAGUCAGACAAAAUCCCUGCACAGAGCGGGGAGUUGGGAAGAAAAUCCCACCCCAGCCGAGGAACUAAUGACAAUUGAUAGCUGCCGAGGGAGGGAGAAGCCAGUUUCUUUAAGGAUGUAGCCCCUAGUAAGAUGGCCACACUCUGGUGGAAGGCCACACAUCCACAAUCACACAGACAGCACAAACUGAAUCCAGUGGAUUGAUAUCUGAAUUCUUAAGUCCUGUAGGAUCUAGCUGAUCCUGAAUAUGGACAGGAUACUUCCAAUCGUAGGUCAUUUGCUUCUCCCAUGGGGUAACAAAUAAACACCUCUCUACCUAUUUUCCAUAUGCAGCAAGGGCACUGCCUCUCUAGGUUGAGCCAGCCAAGGUUUACAAAGCAUGUCAGAGGACAAUUUUAUUCCCCAAUUCAGAAAGCAAAGUGAGAUAAUCAUCUGGACCGCUCUUAUGCCACUGUGGCAGGAACUAGGAAGGGGCCAUAUCCAAAUCACAGUGCGGGAGCUGGCAGGGACCUUAGCAAUUCUCACUUGAAAGAUGAUACUAUGAUAUGGACUCUUCUCCCCAGUAUCCCCACCAGGGACUCAGGCAGCCUUCUAGUAAACAAAAUCAGCCCAUUUCCUGUAUGACCUCUGAAAACACAGGGCAGCGUUCCACGUCCCACCAAUGGCGGUGUGGACAAGUCUGUGUAUCUGUGUUCACAGUACAAAGGGAGACAGAAAGGAGUCUACAGUGCCGCGUGCCUGGUGACCUGGCCAGAGCCCAGGUUUCUGGUUUACACCCCUUAAGCCUUGGCUUCCUUAGUCUUGGUGCCCCUUUUGAGAUUCUGAAGGCACCUUCUCACUUCAAAGGUCCUGAGAAUAUGUUUAAUUAGAACUUGGCCAUACAGCCUUUUAAAAUAAAACAGAAGGGACCAGCUAAUUAUAUUGCUCCACGUUCUGUGGCAAACAUAUAUUUUUUUAAUAAAACACUUUCCUAACCAGAGUAAUCCCUUGAGACGCAAAUCCUCAUUUAUAAGAAGUUUCCCAAAGGGAGUUAAAGAGAAAGACUUCUCUAAAGAAAAGAAACAAAGAGGGUGUAUGUGUGUGUGUGUGUGUGUGGGGGGGUUGUUUGCAAAGAGCUUUCAAAAGAGGCUCUCUUGAUGAGGUUAAAAUAGGGAUGUUUCAAGGAUGCCGAGUUUUACUGCAAAUACUAUCCGUUCCUGUCUUUUUUUUUUUUUAUCAUGCAUUUCCUCUUUUGAUUAGUGCAGCAAAUGCUGAUAUUUCUCUUUCUGGUGUGUUGCAUAAGUGCAGUAUUUAAAUAAACAAGUGAUUUUCUUCUCAAAUGUUCUUUGUCUCCUGCUGUGUGGCCCUGCAUUGCUCUGCUAGGGCCUCCUUCUCUAGACAGGAACCUCACAGGACUGGCUAUGGUUGCUGGGGUGAUGCUAGGUAGGGGCUUUUGCCUGAGUGCCUGUCAGCCUAGGGUGGGAGAGAGGAUUCUCCCUCACCCACCCACCCCACACUCAGAUGUGAGAUGACUUGGAUGCUUGUGUUUGGAUCCCCUGGAGCUGGAGUUACAGGUGGUUCUGAGUCACCUGAUAUGGGUACUGGCAACCAACUCCCAUCCUCUGCAAGAGCAGCAAUCACUUUUAACCACAGAGCCAUCUCUCCAGCCCCUAUUUAUUUAUUUUUUAAUUUAGCAUAGAACAUAAUAGUUUUCCUUAUGGCAUCUUCAUACGUAAUUUUUCUUAUGGGGCCCUUCCUCAACACCCUCCUCUCUCUCUUGACCUUAAGGUUGCUGAAUCUCUUUCUCCUCCUUAGGAGGUCCCCUUUUCUACCUUCAUUCAAUUGUGUUCCAAUAUCCUCUCUUUCCCAGAUCAUCUCUGCCUCCCUUGGGAUGCAUUCUUCCUCUUCCUGCCCCUCUCCACUUUCCUGACCUAACCUGGAUUUGAAUGCAGAUCUUUGCUGCACUCUCCACUCUCCAGUGCCAGAGCACGCUGGUUUGGAAAAUGACAUUGUCCACAGCAGCUGAUGCUGAGAGCCCUGCGGCUGGGCAGAAGGCAUGAGCUCUGGACGGACGCAAUCUUGUGAGCUCUUCAAAUGGGGCCAAAUCAAUAAAUGAGAGGCAGCGGGGAUGGCGGGAGGCUGGGUUCAAGGGGUAAGCUGUACCAUUCCUCUUCUAGUUCUGCUCCACAACCGGGACCCUCCCUUCAUUCUGAAGUCCCUGGGGACAGGGUAAUUUCGGCCACACUUGAUAUAACCUAUACAUCACUGUCUUCUGGACCAGCUCUCAAAUUAAACUCUGAUGUAUAAAGUUAAACAAAAAUGAGAUAAAAAUUGGCAGAGGUUGAAGAGGGUCAAAGUAGUCAAAACGCAAGGUGGAGUAUUGCUCCUUUUGAUUUAUGUUAUUCUGUGCACUUAGAAAAAAUAAAAUUAUAAAUCUCCCCGAGACUUUUCUCAUUGAGAAUGAGGCAUUACUAAUUUAUUUUCAAUAGACUCCCGGGUCUUCCAUCUAGGGCUGAGUGGGUGAUUCCGAAGCUAUUGUUUCCAGUGACCAUGCCCCAAAUGGUUCUAAAACAUGAACCGGGGAGACACUAAAGCAUCUUGCAAAUUUAACAUCUCGGCAGAGUGCUAAGAACAAGUCUGCCUUGUGUUUGCUAAGAAUGGAACCCAGAACCUUGAGCACAUCACCACUGAAGCAAUACCCCCAGACCCUCAUGGUAAAUUCUAGGCAAGAACUUAUCACCAAGUUACACCCUAUCCCCUCAUUGGUAGAUUAAAUUCUAGCAAGUGCUCUAACAUUGACCCUUGUUUGUUUGUUUGUUUCGUUUUUAUUUUUUCAGGUUUUGUUGUGGUGUUUUUGUUUGUUUUUGUUUUUGUGUUGGACAGAUAUUUGGAGUCAUGGUCUUCUUGCCUCUGCUUCCACAGUUCUGGGAUCACAGACUUGGGCUACCACAUACACAUCACCAAGAAUUACCUCAGGAGACACAGAUAAGAUCAAGGGACAAAUGAGGAUACUGCAUGUUAUCCAGGCCACACAGAUAUGGCCGUGUAGGGGGGAGGGCACAGUGUGUAGAGCAAUGGCGGCGUGUGGUUCUAAGAUCUGUAUUUUGAAUGUGAGGGUCUGAAAAUGAUCUCUGGGCUCCACUACAUGGUUCUUUCCAGAGCAUGGAGGUACCUAGCCAGCUGGCUAGCAUAGACCCAGGAUACAAGCAAAAGGCUAUUUGAGGAAGUGAAGAAGCACCAGCAGAGGGCAGAGAUUGCAGAGAGGAGGGUCUUAGGGAGGGAGGGAGGGGGGAGGGAGGGGAUAAACGCAUUCUUGAGUACUAUUUUUCCCUCCACUGACUAUAAAAGUACAUUGCAGUCUAUUUACCUCUGUUCUUUCUCUAUUUCUCUCAAGGACACAGCCCGCUUCUUCAUCUCUCAGCCCAGGACUGUGAGACUGCCCCAAGAUAGAUGAGCAAAAGUUACAGAGUUUCCUAAUGUAGUUACAUCUCAAUUGGGGGAUUGAUGCCCACCUGCCUGGCGCUAUGGGAUGGAUUUCAGCACAGGUGUGACCUCUGUGGCCAGAGGCCAGGAUGAGCCCGUAGAAAUGUCCAGGCUGCAGGCAACUGGGCCUGUGAGUCUCCUCUCUAAAGCCUUCCCUGCAGGGGAAGGGGAGGCAUGAUUGACAGUGGACCAUCCCAAUGGGAGGAUCACGAGUAGGCUUUAAGGUAAGUACAGACUAAAGCAUCUGGGCCUGUUCCUUGGGAAUGAAAGGAAGAAAAGUGUCCCUCAGUACCCAUAGCCCUGCCUGUCAUGGGCUGAAGUGGGGGAGAAGCUUCUUAACCCUCUGUCUUCCUCUUAGCAGACCUCAAAAGUUCCCAGGAGAGUGAGCCCAAGCCAGAGUGUGGGGACGUGUUGGCCUGCUUCUCUUCUAGACCUUCACUGGGCUUGGCCCCAACCUGUUUUAGCACUAAGUUAUCUAGGUCUUCAAUGCUUGGUUAGAACCAGUUUGUCCAGCUUUCCCCAAAGGCCUGUGACAUCAGACACUUGGUCUUGCUUCUGGGCUGAGGAAGUGCUGACUGACACUUCCAAACAUCAGUUGAAUUUUGGAUAUGGCCUUAAAGUCACAGUGGCCAUCUGGGCAACUGGCAAGCUUAGCUUGAAUCUGUCUGCUCCCAGUAGACCCUGGUGUGGAGCAGAACCGACUGGUCACAUAUGGUUUACGACUGUGGCAAUGGAGCCCUCUGAAUGAAGAAAAUGAAGAACUUGUUGGAUGCCCUUGACCUCGAGGAAGUAACAGGAACUCAGAGUGUUCAGUGUGAUUUAUCACUUGUUGAGAAAAGUAAACACUGUUGUAAUUCGUCAUGAUUUAAAUUUGGAAUGUCACCCCUCAAAGGCUCCUGUGCAGAAGGUUUCACCCCAGCUGAUGGUACUCCGUGGGUCCUUUUAGGAGCUGUGGCUGUGCUGAAGGAAAUAGGCUAUUGUGGUUUGUCUGAAAUGUCCCCCACAGAGUCAUAUUCUGGGUGCUGAGUCCUGAGAUUAUGGUGCUGUUUUAAAGACUGUGGAGAUUUUAAUAGUUGGGACCUGGCCGAAAGAAGGGGUGGGCCUUUGGAGUUGAUGGCCACCUCUGCUCCUGGCUGGCCUGCUUUUUGGUCUGCCACAAUGUCCCCAGCUGCCUCACACUCCCAUAGCUAUGGAUGGAACCAUUCCACCACACCCCACCCCACACUGUGAUGGACUGACUUCAUGAGUCAAAAUAAACCUUUCCAACCAUAGUUUGCCUGCAAGAUAUUUUGUCACAGGGACAGGUCAUGGCAGAAGGUGACAUCCUUGAAAGGUAUGCUUCAAACCUGGACCUUUCCACACUGCUUCUUUGAUUCCUGGUUGUCAUAAAGUGAUGUCUCUGUGGUGUCAUGGCCCCUCCACAAACAUACUGUUCCACACUGACUAGUUCCUUUUGCAUUGAUCUGCUUCAAGAGGCAAUGGGGCCAAGUAGCCAUGGACAGAACCUCUGAAAUCAUGAGCCAAGUCAAUCAUUCCUCAUUUGUAAGUUGAUUACCCCAGGUAUGAGGCCUAGGCCAAAACAGUUUUCCUGUUGCUGGACACUCCCUUCCAUUUUCCUAAUGUACAUAUACACUAAUUGCUUUAUAUGAAAGGUGCAUUUCUGGGGUCCCCACAAAGUAGCAUGAUUGAACAGGUCUUCUAAAGACAUGGCUUCCAAGGAGCUGGGAAUACAGCUCUGCGCUAGAAGACCUGCCUAGAAUCUCCCAGUGAGGGGCUGGGGUGUGGCUCAGUGGUAGAGCACCUACCUAGAAUCCCCCAGUGAGGGGCUGGGGUGUGGCUCAGUGGUAGAGACCCUGCCUAGAAUCCCCCAGUGAGGGGCUGGGGGCCUGGCUCAGAGAUAGAACAGUUUGCCCAGCAUGCACAAGGCCUAAAGUUCCACCUCAGCAGUACAAAGCAUCAACAACAUGAUAAUGACUUGGCUUCCAGUUCUAGCUCCCAGUUUUCACUAGGGGGCCACUUCAGCCUUCUUACGCCUGUCUCCUCUCCCUAGUUCUUCCAAGAUGCUUCUGUUAAAUUAAUAUUUGUUCUUCAUAGAUUUUACUGUUGAGUUAAGCAGCAUGAUUUGAAUUGAUGCCAUUCUCAUUUGUUUUUUUUCCUAAAGCCAACAAUAAUUUAUUUUUAUUUGCUUGUUGUUGUUGUUGUUGUUUUCCAGUACAUGUGGUUAAGUUUCUUCACAUCCACCUACAGCCUCUCAGGAAGAUUUUCAUCAAGGUCAAACACAGCAGCUAAUCCACAGGUCUGGGGUCUGAGUUUCUUGUCUCUGAGGCAUUGUGUCUUGAGGCACUGAUGUUCCAGCUGCUCCUGUUGCCUGGGUGACUACACAUUAGUCCUUACUCCAACUUGAGGACUUGCUUUAGCUCUGGCAGCCACUGGUCCCCUACUUCCUGGAGCUUUUGUUUUCUCUUUCUUGCCUUAAUUCCUCCUAAUAGCUGUCUGAUGUUGUAAUAAUGGUGUCUGGGUUAAGUAAGCCAGAAAAAAAAAAAAAAGCUUUCCCAGAUAAGCAUAUCCUAGACCAAGAACAGCAGCAGCAACCACAGCUAAAUAAAGCAAGAAGACUGAGCAGAGAUACAAAGCCUGUUUUUUAUCAAGUGAGCAGCCAACACUUCAAAAGGCAUGAAAGAGAAGAAGGAAGGGAGCUCUGGGCAUCUGUUCUGCUGCAUGUCUGCAAACAGGGACACCAAGACACCACCCAAGGUACAGAGCCAGA